GCACAUGCUGCUUCAGCUGUUCUGAAUUUCAGCGAGAACUGCACACCUGAUAUUCUGACACCAUACUUGGAUGGAAUUGUUAGCAAAUUGCUUGUUUUGCUACAGAAUGGGAAACAGAUGGUACAAGAGGGAGCUUUAACAGCUUUGGCAUCUGUUGCAGAUUCUUCUCAGGAACACUUCCAGAAAUACUACGAUGCUGUCAUGCCUUAUCUGAAGGCUAUUUUGAUGAAUGCAACUGACAAGUCCAAUCGUAUGCUACGUGCUAAAUCCAUGGAGUGUAUUAGUUUGGUGGGCAUGGCUGUGGGGAAGGAGAAGUUCAGGGAUGAUGCUAAACAGG